GAUGAACGCUAGCGGUGCGCCUAACACAUGCAAGUCGAGCGCCCUCACUUUGUCUUUGAAUCUUUCGAAGUCAGUGUGAGGGAGCGGCGAACGGGUGAGUAACACGUUGGAACCUACCCCAGACUCAGGGAUAGCCCGCCGAAAGGUGGAUUAAUACCGGAUAGUCUCGUAAGAGUAAAGCUUUUGCGGUCUGGGAGGGGCCUGCGGCCUAUCAGCUUGUUGGUAGUGUAAUAGACUACCAAGGCUAUGACGGGUAUCUGGUGUGAGAGCAUGACCAGACACAAUGGGACUGAGACACGGCCCAUACUCCUACGGGAGGCAGCAGUGAGGAAUCUUCCGCAAUGGGCGAAAGCCUGACGGAGCGACACCGCGUGGAGGACGAAGGCCUUUUGGUUGUAAACUCCUUUUCUGAGGGAAUAAAUGAUGAAGGUACCUCAGGAAUAAGCACCGGCUAACUACGUG
rnacentral:rRNA from 1 species